rnacentral:tRNA from 1 species
GCCUGGGUGGCUCAGUGGUUGAGCACCUGCCUUUGGCUCAGGUCAUGAUCCCAGGGUCCUGGGAUCAAGUCCCACAUCAGGCU